AUUGAACGCUGGCGGCAUGCCUUACACAUGCAAGUCGAACGGUAACAGGUCUUCGGAUGCUGACGAGUGGCGAACGGGUGAGUAAUACAUCGGAACGUACCUAGUAGUGGGGGAUAACUACUCGAAAGAGUGGCUAAUACCGCAUGAGAUCUACGGAUGAAAGCAGGGGAUCGCAAGACCUUGUGCUACUAGAGCGGCCGAUGGCAGAUUAGGUAGUUGGUGGGAUAAAAGCUUACCAAGCCGACGAUCUGUAGCUGGUCUGAGAGGACGAUCAGCCACACUGGGACUGAGACACGGCCCAGACUCCUACGAGAGGCAGCAGUGGGGAAUUUUGGACAAUGGGCGCAAGCCUGAUCCAGCAAUGCCGCGUGCAGGAUGAAGGCCUUCGGGUUGUAAACUGCUUUUGUACGGAACGAAAAGCCCUGGGUUAAUACCCUGGGGUCAUGACGGUACCGUAAGAAUAAGCACCGGCUAACUACGUGCCAGCCGCCGCAGUAA
rnacentral:rRNA from 1 species